GUGUAAGCCCCGAGUCUGCUGCACUGGGUGAUAAUGCCAGACUGCUUGGGCGCUGCUGCACAUCCUCACCAAACUCCUGAACUCCUCUCUGGACCACACAUCUCCUGUGUGGGCUCUGUCUCCCACACUCUGUUUCUGGCACAAAUCUACGUCUCUUCAAGAAGAAUAUAGUUCCAAGUUUUCCAGGAAACUCUUAAUUGAUGUCUAGUCAAGAUGACGUAGGUACAGAAUGACAGAAUGGGAGUCAGAUGUUUCUUGAUGCUAGUGCAUGCUUGCUGGAAGGCAGUUAUGAGCCUAAUUUGCAGGAGCCUCAUCCAUUGUAACAUCACCUCCGUAGUCAAGAUGACACAGCUAAUUCUGAAACAUAUGGAAUCAAGGCGGAAAGGUCUCAUCCUGAACAUUUCUUCUGGGAUAGCCCUGUUUCCUUGGCCUCUCUACUCCAUGUACUCAGCUUCCAAGGCGUUUGUGUGCGCAUUUUCCAAGGCCCUGCAAGAGGAAUAUAAAGCAAAAGAAGUCAUCAUCCAGGUGCUGACCCCAUAUGCUGUCUCGACUGCAAUGACAAAGUAUCUAAAUACCAAUGUGAUAACCAAGACUGCUGAUGAGUUUGUCAAAGAGUCAUUGAAUUAUGUCACAAUUGGAGGUGAAACCUGUGGCUGCCUUGCCCAUGAAAUCUUGGCGGGCUUUCUGAGCCUGAUCCCGGCCUGGGCCUUCUACAGCGGUGCCUUCCAAAGGCUGCUCCUGACACACUAUGUGGCAUACCUGAAGCUCAACACCAAGGUCAGGUAGCCGGGCGGUGAGGAGUCCAGCACAACCUUUUCCUCACCAGUCCCAUGCUGGCUGAAGAGGACCAGAGGAGCAGACCAGCACUUCAACCUAGUCCGCUGAAGAUGGAGGGGGCUGGGGUCACAGAGGCAUAGAAUACACAUUUUUUGCCACUUUA
rnacentral:sRNA from 1 species